rnacentral:lncRNA from 1 species
GCUGGCCUUCUUAGUUUUAGUUCUGUUCCGACAGGAUUUGAGGCUGAGGCCUUAUCUUCUCACGCCAUUGGACUUUUUCUUAGCUUAUAGGAGGUUUGUUGUCUUCAGUUUGUCUUUGAGCUUUCUGAUUCUCUCUUGCUUGGCUUUCCGAGUUCGUGUUUUCAGGUCGGCACUUUUGGCCUCUUGUUGCCUUUGUCUUCUUAGCUCGGCUUCCCGCACUGGGAGAUCUUGGGGAUCCCAGUCUUGUUAUGCCAGGAGAUCUUGGGGAUCCUGAUGCUCUACCUCCCUGAGGUCUCGAUGUCUCAUUUCGGUUUAUGUUGGUGCCGGGAUAUCUUGGGGAUCCCGGUCUUCCACCUCCCUGAGGUCUCUAUGUCUCAGUUCGGUUGGUGUUGGUGCCGGGAGAUCUUGGGGAUCCCGGUCUUCUACCUUCCUGAGGUCUCUAAGUCUCAGUUCGGUUUAUGUUGGUGCCGGGAGAUCUUGGGGAUCCCGGUCUUCUACCUCCUUGAGGUCUCUAUGUCUCAGUUUGGUGUUGGUGCCGGGAGAUCUUGGGGAUCUCGGUCUUCCACCUCCCUGAGGUCUCUAUGUCUCAGUUUGGUGUUGGUGCUGGGAGAUCUUGGGGAUCCUGGUCUUCUACCUCCCUGAGGCCUUGGGCAUUUA